AAGGGAAACUGCUUCAGCAUAAUCUGGGCCGCGAUGUGGUUGAUGCGUUGAAGGAUCUCAAGAAAAAGCUCUCCGAAGACGAGUCGACGUAGCUGCCCUUUACUGGGAUGGACUGCCCUUUACUGGGAUGGACUAACAAAGCUACUUCAAAGGUGGAUGAAUCGCCAAUCAUAAUUAAGGGAUGUUACUACAAUUAUCAAUUGCUGACGGAAUCACCGGGG
rnacentral:lncRNA from 1 species